GAUGAACGCUGGCGGCGUGCCUAACACAUGCAAGUCAAGCGAUUCUCUUCGGAGAAGAGCGGCGGACGGGUGAGUAACGCGUGGGUAACCUGCCCUGUACACACGGAUAACAUACCGAAAGGUAUGCUAAUACGAGAUAAUAUGCUUUUAUCGUAUGGUAGAAGUAUCAAAGCUUUUGCGGUACAGGAUGGACCCGCGUCUGAUUAGCUAGUUGGUAAGGUAACGGCUGACCAAGGCGACGAGCAGUAGCCGACCUGAGAGGGUGAUCGGCCACAUUGGAACUGAGACACGGCCAAAACUCCUACGGGAGGCAGCAGUGGGGAAUAUUGAACAAUGGGCGAAAGCCUGAUGCAGCAACGCCGCGUGAGCGAUGAAGGCCUUCGGGUCGUAAAGCUCUGUCCUCAAGGAAGAUAAUGACGGUACUUGAGGAGGAAGCCCCGGCUAACUACGUGCCAGCAGCCGCCGUAA
rnacentral:rRNA from 1 species